rnacentral:piRNA from 1 species
CACCACAGUGCUCGGGGAUGCGG